rnacentral:lncRNA from 1 species
AGAUACUUUGUUGAAAAGCAGUAAGGAUAAUGUGGGAUAGAAGACAAGAGGAGCUGCGUUCAGAUGAGAUUUGAAAGUGGCAGGAGAAUGCGAAGUGGGAAAGAAUCACUACUCAAGUCAAAACUACUUGAGUUACAUAUGAGACCCUUGAUUGUUCCCAAAGCAUCAUUCAAAGCACAAUAAAAAUGCUGAGAGGUGGUCUUUCUCUUUUUCUUUGAUGCUCCUUACAAUCUAUGCAGCAUUCCCCACAGAGUGUGCUCUUCAGAAACUGUGAGUGA